ACCGCCGGGCACGCAUGCGCAUUUGAACGGAUACAGAUAAUUACUAGGACGCGUACAACGUAACGAGGAUACGCAAGACCCGUCUGUUGUUAUCUGUAAUUAUAAAAAUGCAUAUCACUCUUUCCGUCAGUUCGCGUGUCAUUAGUGGAAACUAUAGCUUCAGUCCUAUAGAAGAAGAACUAACCGCUUUUUGUAUGAACAAUACCUCACUGAUGUAUGCUGUGAUUUUUGGCAGUGUGACAGCCAUCCUCCAAGGGAUGCACUCCCACUUUUCCCCUCGUCGCACAAGAACCGAUGACCUCAAGAACUUCAUGCGUGACUAUAACCUGCCAGCUUCCCUCAGGCAGACAAUGUUGGAGCGCUUUCCGAUAGCUUGGUCUAUCAACAAUUGUCUCGACAUUAAUGAGCAGCAAGACGUUCGGAGGCUUUCACGGAGGUGGUGGAGUCCAUUGGUGUGGCGUGGAGAUGGGGGAUGUCCAAGUGUUGUCAGCACCAUACCCUGAGUGAGUCUUUCUCUUCACCAAAACCAUCGAUCCUGAACUCCCAAAGCAUCUGGGUGUGAAACUGCAUUGGCCAGGAGAAGACUGGACCUGCAGCACAUUCAAGGACCAGUUCCAUGUUCAUGCCUGCACAACACCAUCUGAGCUCUUAAAAAGAGUAACCUGUGCUGACUCUUGAGUCAGAGACCAGGCAUGUUGCUGCAGGGAAACACUGUGGACCACUCAUCGUUUCUGGAGUAAUUUCCUCUCAUCUGUGCAACAAAAGGCCUUCUCAAUAAGACUCAUCCUUCCUGUGUGCAGCAGACACUGUGCUGAUCAUUUAAAAAUGUAAAGCAAUUUUAUUUUGCUGUUCAAUACUUUGCUUCUUUGCAUCAUAACUUCAGUUACUGCUGGUGAGAAUGGUAAUUCCUACCCCCAAAUUAAUCAAAUAUUAGUGGAGUUAUGUUUGUUUAUGUGUGGAACAAAGGCCUACCUUGGGUCAAUGUGCAGAUGUUACAGAUGCUAUUCAAUCUCUCCAUAUUUAAUUGUUGGACAGGAAGAAGAGAACAAUUUGCAAUGCAACUUUUAUUGAACAUGUAUCUAUUGUACAAAACUGCAACUGUAUAAAAACAGAUUUUUGAACCUUGGGUUUCCUAAAAGGUGAACAGAUACCCCAAAAUGACACAGCUUAUAAACAAUAACCAACCCUCAUUCCCCCAACAUUUCUGCUGGCUCAAUGAUUUUUUAACUGGUUCAUUCUGAGUCACAGUUAUGGUAUGUGUAAAAAUCACCUCCACCUGUGCAAUCUUUAUGUGCCCAGGACUUGCACAUCCAGCAUUGCAGCCACACUUCCCUGGAUUUCGAGUAGCUUUCCAGGCACACAAUGCAGACAUGCAGAGUCUGACUCUUCUCUCUUUCUUUUUGGCUGAUCUUUUGUUUUCUUUACACUUGUCUUUGUGGUUUUCUUUUCUCCGAUUCUUUUUUUUUGACUUCUGCUGAUGAUGUUUGAUGCUUCUUCCAAAAUACUGAGGGGAACCCCUCUUUCAGUAACCCUCUUCCUCACUCGUUGCAUACUGAAUACCAACAUAAUACAUUUAAAAUGAUUAUUUAUUAUUAUAAUUAUUAUAAUAUACUAUUAUAAAUUAUUAAAUAUAU